rnacentral:rRNA from 1 species
ACGCUCGACACCUACGGAGGCGAGCAGUUGGGAAUAUUGGACAAUGGAGGAAACUCUGAUCCAGUGACGCCGCGUGAAGGAAGAAGGUCUUCGGAUUGUAAACUUAUUUUGUCAGGGAAGAAAAAAUGACUGUACCUGAAGAAAAAGCACCGGCUAACUACGUUCCAGCAGCCGCGGUAAUCUGAGCGGGCGUGGCAAGGC